rnacentral:rRNA from 1 species
UGGGGAAUUUUGGACAAUGGGCGAAAGCCUGAUCCAGCAAUGCCGCGUGUGUGAAGAAGGCCUUCGGGUUGUAAAGCACUUUUGUCCGGAAAGAAAUCCUCUGGGUUAAUACCUCGGGGGGAUGACGGUACCGGAAGAAUAAGCACCGGCUAACUACGUGCCAGCAGCCGCGGUAAUACGUAGGGUGCAAGCGUUAAUCGGAAUUACUGGGCGUAAAGCGUGCGCAGGCGGUUUUGUAAGACGGAUGUGAAAUCCCCGGGCUUAACCUGGGAACUGCAUUCGUGACUGCAAGGCUAGAGUAUGGCAGAGGGGGGUAGAAUUCCACGUGUAGCAGUGAAAUGCGUAGAGAUGUGGAGGAAUACCGAUGGCGAAGGCAGCCCCCUGGGCCAAAUACUGACGCUCAUGCACGAAAGCGUGUGGAGCAAACAGGAUUAGAUACCCUGGUAGUCCACGCCCUAAAACGAUGUCAACUAGUUGUUGGGGAUUCAUUUCCUUAGUAACGUAGCUAACGCGUGAAGUUGACCGCCUGGGGAGUACGGUCGCAAAGAUUAAAACUCAAAUGAAUUGACGGGGUCAUAGCUG